CAGAUCUCACCUUCAUUGUGAUCUGUUGUGUUGCUGUUGGAUGUCUGAUGAUUGUAGCUUCAGUUUUGAUCUUCUGCAUCUACAGGAAACACACAAACACAAAUCAAAAGGUUCCUAAAACUGUUAAAAACAGAUGGAUGGAAUUUACCGAAAUCACUUACAAGAUCACACAUUCUGUAAAAGAGCAGCAGAUAAACUGCACUUGGUGAUGUCUUAACAGAACAGUCACCUAAAAUAAGUCCCAAAGACAUCAAGAAUCGGAAUAUGAAUCUCAACAAUGGUGACAAUAACAAGAGAAAGCGUCAUGCUGAAAUCCAUGAAUGUUUUUUAUACUGUUAUACCACUGGCUGUUAAAUGCUUUAUUCUGAUUGGUUAAGAGAAUGUUCCAUGCGUGUUGAUUAUUUUUCUGUAAACCGCACACCUAACUUAUCAAAUGUCUUAUAAUAACCACCAGACCAAUGUUUGUGGUAACUGUGGUAUAAGCAGAAUAAUCGACUCUGGUCCUUUCAAUUAUUAGAAAAUAAUGCACACCCGCUUUGUGUCGUGGCGCAUUACCACCUGGGUGUGCAUUAUUUUCAAAUAAUUCAAAGGACUUGAGUCAAUUAAUCCUUACAUGUUACCCAGCAUGCAUUGCAGCAUGCAUUUUUAUUUUGUUUUAAAUGAUGUUUUAAAUUAGUUUUUCUUUUGUUUUAAAUUAUAUUUGAAAUUAAUUUUUCUUUUGUUUUAAAUUAUGUUAAUAGACGGUCGUUUAAAGAAAGACAGAACUGUACAUUAUCAGAAACAACUAAAGUAUUUGAUUUAAAACACAUACUAUGUCUAUUUUUUUAUUUUCUCACUGAAUGCAUCUGACACAUUAACAGGUUAAUUUUUUUAUUUUCUCACUGAAUGCAUCUGACACAUUAACAGGUUCAUUCGGGUUCAUGUGAAGCCUGAUGUAGAAAGAAAUGUGGUUUUGUUGUACUGGUGGACAUGAGAUGUGUGUUUGUGGUUAAUGUGCAUAUGUGUGUGUAUGUGAGAGGUGUGAACAGUGUGUGUCUUUUUUGCUCUCCUGCUAAUAUUUUUUACUCUACACAAAGCUGCUUUACAAUGUAAUAUUUAAUUCACCUAUGCUAAUGUUAAACAAAUAAAAGAUUGC